rnacentral:rRNA from 1 species
UACGUAGGAGGCAAGCGUUGUCCGGAAUUACUGGGCGUAAAGCGUGCGCAGGCGGUUUGUUGUGUCGGCGGUGAAAGCCCCGGGCUUAACCUGGGAAUGGCCGUUGAAACUGGCGAACUGGAGUGUGGCAGAGGGGGGUGGAAUUCCGCGUGUAGCAGUGAAAUGCGUAGAGAUGCGGAGGAACACCGAUGGCGAAGGCAGCCCCCUGGGCUGACACUGACGCUCAGGCACGAAAGCGUGGGGAGCAAACAGG